rnacentral:lncRNA from 1 species
CAAGCAGAAAAAGGCAGGGAGAGCCGAGCAGUCUAGGGUUUUAAGUUCUCUCCCCUUGUGUGUUUUUUUGGCCAAAGGACGAAAAUAGUUUUCCUCAACUGUAAAUGAACCGCUAAACCCCACCUCAACCCUGUUCACUGGAGACUUUGUUCCCUGUUCUCUGGAUGGCCUUUUCCGGGAUCUCAUGUUCUUAUCAAACAAGAAGGAAGUGAAUGUUACCAUCUUCCAUUUGACUCCUCUAUUUGGUGUCUAAGACAGUGUCUUCCCAGAAGACCAACUCCCUGUACCCGGAGACAAGACACCCAUGUCCUUUUCCUCAGUCACAGUUAUCAUUUCGGAUGUCACUCGGGUCUCUCGGGAACCUCAUUUUUGAGUGUUAAUGAACCCCUUAAGGGCUGUUUAGGAAACAGCAGUUUUCACGGUUCUCCUCUCCCGUGUUUCACUCGGAUACUUUGCUGGACAAAAGUGGUUCUAUCUUCAGACGUGACUCUGGUUACCUCUAGAAAUAGGUCCAAGAAAUGGGAUGGUUGACCGGCUUGGCCUGAAAUGCUUGACUGUGUUAGCAACGCUCAAAACUGUCUGUUUCCCAUUUGUUGGUUUGAAUCAUAAAACUGUCAAGUGAU